rnacentral:tRNA from 1 species
GGAGGGGUUGGGCAUCGGUUAAGCCCAGCGGACUUAAAAUCCGCUGACUCGCUAGGGUCUUGUGGGUUCGACUCCCGCUCCCUCCG